rnacentral:tRNA from 1 species
GCCCGGGUGUUGGAAUGGUAGACAAGCAUGCUUGAGGUGCAUGUGCCAGAAAUGGUGUGGAGGUUCGACUCCUCUCCCGGGCA